AGCUUUUAACAAAUUGGAUUACUUAUUGUAUUACUGAUUAAAUAUACACGGAAUUAACACAAACUACCUUCUUACAAUUUUAAUUUUAAUACUGUAUAUUGACUAUUUUUUUUUAAAAAAAAGGAAGAGCUUUAAUGGAUUUUUUAUUCCGUGAAUUAUUAGAAACAAAAUUCAAGAUAAACUAACACAUAAUCUGUUUACAUUUUCAGAUAAUUAAAAAGAUUCCUAAAUAAUUUUUUUCCAAGUGAAUUUUUUUUUUUGUAGAGUAGCCUUAGGACAGAACUUCAACGGGAGUGGUUUCUUGAUCGGUAAAGGCAGACUCGAAGAACUUUUGAAUGAGGUAGUGUUAGUUCUUGGUGGUUUCACUUGCUCUGAUCUGUUCCCCUGUGGUGGACUUGGGAGAUUCCUAGAUUGGUUGUUUGGAGGACACAAUAGGAUAAACAAAGUGUUUGAAGAGCUUGAUGCUUUUUACCAGCAUGUAAUUGAUGAUCACUUGAAACAUGAAGCUCAAGCAGGAAAGAAAGCUAUGGAUUCUCAGGCGGAUAUUGUUGCACUCUUGUUAGGUAUGAUGGACAAACAAGGAGACAAAGAUUAUUUCAAGCUCAGCAUUGAUAAUAUCAAGGGAGUCAUCACGGAUAUAUUUCUAGCGGGGGUAGAUACAGGUGCUGUAACCAUGAUAUGGGCAAUGACGGAGCUGGCUAAAAACCCUAGAGUGAUGAGAAGGCACAAGAAGAGAUCCGAAACACCAUAGGGCUCAAAAAGGAAAGUAUCACUGAGGAAGACAUUGACAAAGUUGAUUAUUUGAAGCUCAUAAUCAAGGAAACAUUUAGAUUACACCCAGCACUUCCGCUUUUGCUACCAAGGGAAACAAUGUCCCAUGUCAAGAUCAAUGGAUAUGAUAUUCCUCCAAAAACACAAAUCCUACUUAACGUAUGGACCAUCGGACGUGACCCCGGUCGGUGGACCGACCCUGAAGCAUUCAUCCCUGAACGGUUUGCUAAAACUUGUGUAGAUUUCAAAGGACAAAGCUUUGAGCUAUUACCGUUUGGUUCUGGUAGAAGAAUGUGUCCCGGAAUGCCAAUGGCUGUUGCUCCUGUGGAACUAGGACUGUUGAGUUUGCUUUACUUUUUUGAUUGGACAUUGCCUGAAGGGAUGAUUAGUGAAGAAGAGAUUGAUAUGGAAGAAGCUGGUAAUCUUACCAUUGUGAAGAAACAACCUCUUCAACUUGUGCCUGUCCUACACCAUUGAUGAGCAUUGUGCUGUCAAAAAAUGCUUGAUUUGAGUUAUCGCAUUUAUUUUGUGUAUUCAUAUGUUUUUCACAAUGACAAUAGUUAUUCAUACAUAUAUGUCACAUAUAAUAUAUGUUUAUUUUUCUAA